rnacentral:miRNA from 1 species
CCAAGACGAUGCCGAUGAGGUGAUGAACGAAAUCAACAUGACGCCGCUGGUGGACGUCAUGCUGGUUCUGCUCAUCAUCUUCAUCAUCACCG